CCGUUCCUCUCUCUCUCCCCCUCUCUCCUUCUCUUCUCCCCUCCCCUCUUCCGUUCGAUGCGUUUUCGCGCGUCAACGAGCGAUCUUGUCGGACCUGUCUCGUGCAGCUUCUCCAAACUACCGCGAGUACUACUUUGAAUCUACUUCCUUUCCAACUUUAUUGUUUUUUAGAUUACGUGCCAAAACUUUAUGCCUCCGUUUUCUAUUGCCUUGCAACAGUCCUUUUCUUUCGAUGUAAACGUCAUAGAAUUUUUCCUCCUUCGAGAUCACGAUAUUUUUGCUCGAUUUACAGCAUCGCGUCGAUAUCGAUCUUCGAUAAUAAUCACCGAUUACGUGGCAAAUUUACCGUACCGUGAUUGGUGAUCAGCCGUUAGAGAUAAUACUUCUAUAGGACAUCGAAUGAGGUCUAUACGAUGCGAGAGAAGCAGCGAGACGAGAACGACUCGGUUCGUCUUUUAUCCUUGGUUUUUCGAGCAUCGAAUUUGGAACGAACGAAGACAAGACGUUGUUUUACGUGAACGAAUCGUCGUAAUCUUUAUAUUCGUGACAAAGAAGAGGAAAUCUUUUCAAGGCUGUAAUUGAACGUACCUGAACUAUGUUUCAUCGAUGACUAAUUUCUCGACCUUUAUCAAUUUUUUUUUUUUUUUGUCUAUAAAGUCUUCGUAACGAGCAAUUUCUUUAAAAUUUGUAUGAAAAAAAUGUUCUUCCGCGUGACGUCAUUGACUCGUACGCCUCCCCCCUUCUCUCUCUUACGUUCGUCCGUUUCUUUGAAUAUUUAUCGUAAGAGGUUCGUGCGUACGGAAUUCUUGAUAUUAGUUCGCGGAAUGCCUGUUGACGAGUCACCGCGAUGCGACCGUUAUGUAACGUCGUCUUACCGUCGACGUCUCUCACAUCCUUGUCACUCUCUCAGGUAACUUUCUGUUUAAAUGGAUCAGUAUCUUUAGUUGAGAAACUGUGCAGAAUGUUUAGCGGAAAGGAUAAAUCGAAACGGUUGAUAAUUGGAUCGAAUCCGAUCGAUUCGUCGCUAAUGAUACGAUCUUUAAGGUAUCAUCGUGCAAAGUCAUGAUGGAUCAACGAAAGAGAGAAACCCACGAGUAGUAAUCGUUACGACGUAAUUAUUACAAGAUCCUUGUUAAAUCAUUAAGACUAGCUGAAAGAGAACGAUCGACGAACGUCAGCGGGAAUAAAAUAAGGUCACGAACCUUUGUUGAAGUUUUCAAGCGCUUAGGGAGGUGUAAUAAAUAAGUGACAGGGUCGAUCGUAGCCGUAUUUCCCUAGUGACCGAGAGACUUUGUUGCGAGAUCGUGCGAGUUUAAUCAGAAAACUGCCGAUAAGCUAGACGUCCUCCGUUUUCAACGUCGCAGUCGCGUAUUUUCCUUGUCAUAUAUAAAUAUGGAUUAUUAGAAAUUUAGUUGUUUAAGUUUACGUAGAAAAAAAAAAAAAAAGAAAAAGAAAGAAGCAGAGAACAGUUCAGCCUCGAUCCAACGAGCAUUAUCUUUCUAAAGAAGAAUGAAAAUUAACAAAGUUCGAUAGAUUUCUCUUCGUCGAGCGACGAUACGAGUGGCUCUUUGCGAGUCGGCGAAUCGUAUUUUCGCGUUCGUAGAAGUUCGCAGAGAAGUUUCGGACGACGACUUACGCCGCGACGGAGAAGCCUCCUCGUGGCUUUUCGGAAAGUUUAUUUUUAUCAGGGUUGAGAGAGGAAGAAGCUUUUAACCGGCGGCUUUACGGGCUCGCGUUUUAAUCCCGGUAGAGACGACGAUGCGUUUGUAUGGUUUAACUGGGGGAAGAGUUCAGGGUGGUAGAAAGGAUGGAUAUCAUUGAAAUAACUGGCUGCGUGUCUCGUCCCUUCGUACGUUCGCUCAGGGUGCAGCUUAAUUACAUGGCGUUUGUUACGCGCUCUAAUUAGAGGAAUUACCUAUCUACCGUGCCGCUGGAGCAAAGUUUCGCUUCGGUAACCCUGUCCCUUCUCCCUCGCUCCUCAUCGUGGAUCACCCUGAUCGACGAUCGACGAUCGAUCGUACCUCGUUCUUGCAUCGACAUACGUACGUAUACGUAAUAUAUUUUUAUGGGCGGAUCGAACGCGCCAAUUUUUUCCAACGAUCCUUCCCUUUUCUCCACGUUGCGACUUCUCUUCUCUCUCUUUUGUUUUUGUUUUGUUCGUUUUUGUCCCCUCCGCCCUAUCACGAUACGUUCCCUUUCUCGGUCGAUGCAAUUACUUCGUCGCGAUAAUUUCAUCGGGCGUACCACGUCCGUCGUUCUCAUAGAUUUUUCCUUCGGAAACAAGACUUUAUAUACCGAUCUUAUUUAUUAUCGCGUCGUAAACUCGAAAUAUCGCGACUAUUUGAAGGUGGCGCGGAGACAUGGGAAAGGGACAAAAAACGUGAUUGUUCUUUGUGAGCUCGUAUUUCGUAUAGAAUACUUCCUCGCGUUCCUUUCGAUUUCGUUUGGCCGUCGUGACCGUCAAAAGCAGAAAAGUUACCGCUUCGUGAAUCUCUCGACGACUUCCCGAUGGAUUCGCGGAUUCGGUUCGUUAAGAAAUUUCAAAGUCGAGCGAUCGUUUUGCUAGCCGUUCGUCGGCUCGAAUACUCGUUAAAAUUAUACCCUUGAUCCUUCCGACAAAGCAAAAUAAAAGAUCUCGAUCUAUGCGCUAUCUUUGUGCACUAUGAUCCUCUCCUUUUGUUUCUUUUUUUACGGAGAGGUUAUUUCCGAGAAAAACCAACUGUAGGAGACACGAUGACGUCUGAAAUCUCGUCGUUCGAUUAUCGCUCGGUUCCUUUUCGUAAACGCCAAUGAUCGAUAAAAGUCCAUGGAUAUCGCGAUAUUUUGAAGCAUUGAACGAGGUCAGGAACAUGGCAGUAUUUAUUCACGUUUCUCUCGAAAACGUCGUGACUAUUUUCAAAUUACAACUUAUUACGUUAGGCGUAGAAAAAAAACAGCUGUGCCUAUCGUUCAAUUAUGCAGCAUUAAUUAGUUUAAUGCGCGAGAUGGAUUCCUUCGGUAACGCGUUCAAGAUAUACAAUUUCGGAUAGUAUAUAUGGCGAUAUUAAGAUACAUCGACGAUGUAGGUCGGCUAUUAAAUAAUAGGUAGGUGGUGCUCUUAUCGUCCGCUCCUCGAUUAAUCACAAUUUAAAAACAGUUGCGUUUGGAGUUUGCACGAUCGAUUCUCGCACAUACUUCUGUUGGAAUAAAAAAUGAAUGUGUGCGCGCGAUGAGAUACAGGCGAUAUAAACGAGAAAAAAAUUCGACGAUCGUGAAAGAAAGAAGUGUGACUUGUCGAACAACGAGAGUCAUUAAUGCUGGAAUUUUUCAAGCGAGCUCUUCGUCGAGUAGUAUCGAUUUCGCGAAAGGGAGUAAACUUGAUUAAUAUCGUUUCAACGCGAAGACGUUGAUACGCAUUGUCACGGAAAUGUAAUCGACUGUUGUAUGUAUGUGCCGACAUGUUGUAUAACAAGAUGCAAACAUCCGUAAUAAAUAAUCGAUUGCGAUGCAAUCGGAUUACCGUCGAAUAAUUAGACACGGCGAUUUUGUGGUACGUUCAUAUUAAUUUACGCAUAAACGUACACACGCGUGUGCGCCUGUGUGUGCGCCUGUAGCGUACAAGCAUAUACGCUGUAUUAGUCGGGAACGAACAUCGAUGAACGAGGAAAUCGUAUGUAAGUACGUAUGUAGGAGAGUGCACGUAUAAAAACCAUUGGGGGACACAUCGGUCAUUUCUUAUCGCGAUCGUGCGAAAUAUUACUAUCACCGAUUAACUAUAAUGCAAUUAUUCCGUCGUAUUAGUUGCUUCGACUUGGAGAAACCUCGAUUUCAAGGUUCUAGCGUAUAUACGUUUUCAUCGUACGCACGACGCUUUAGCGUCUCACGUUCUCUUUAAUCGUGACCAUAAGUUUCGACGCGAAGACGAGAGAAGGAAGAAACACCUUCGAUUGUACUGCUGUGCCGUGUGGAUGAGAGAAAAAGAUGGCGGAGACUCGCUCGGGGAAAGAAGUAGCGGCACUUUCGAACGAGUCAAGUCACUCGCGAACGUUGACGCACGAGCGUACAAACAGGUUUUUCACGACGAGAGAAACUCGCGGGGUUCGCGUCUGGACUUCUUUCGUUCGAUGAAACUAUUUUGCCACUGGACGUACGUACGUACGUACGAAAGGACGAACGUUCGACGUUUCGAAAGAUAUUCGACGCGAAUCUUCGUUGUCGUGACUCCAAGUAUCCGUGAAAUCGCUUUCAAAGAUUUAUAACCGGUAUGUUGAAUUUGCGUAUCAACGAAGAAAUUAUUUCAAUAAGAAAUCAUUCGAUUCAUUCUAGCGAAGAAUGAAAUGGUUUGGUACAAUUUGCACAACUACCUUGAAGAUGUAUUGAAAUGGUAGCUCCGAAAGGGACUUUGAGUAUUCGGUCGCUUUGUUCGCGUUGUCACUCGACGAGCAAUUAGUUGAUGAAACAGAUUGUACCUUAGUUUAGAAACGUGUCGCGUUGGUACACAGUUCCUAUGUAAGUAGACCACGUGUUGAACUUUUGAAAAGCUCAUCGUAAAGGCGCAUAUAAACGUCGUAGGUACGCGUAUAAAGUGUAAGCGCAAGUUCGAGCGUACUAGCGCGUACUAGUGCAAAGCGAGGGGAUCGAACUCAAGGAUAACCGGUGGUACGCCGAUGUCCGCUGGUUCAGCAGUUACAAAGGGAGGGACUUGGAAUCGCUGGUAUUUAAAAUAUCGACGUACAUACCUUCGAUUUCAAUGGCCGACGAUUUAAAUGGCCUACUUGUCUCUUGUAAAAUGGCUUUGCACGUACUUCAUUUAUCCGACUUUCGAAAACUCCACGUUCGUCGCGUUUAAUCGAAUAAUGGCGAUAUAUCCCCUUUUAUUAUUUAUUCGUUCUUUUUUUUUUUUUUUUUAACGAUUUAUGCGAAGCGCCGACCGAUCGUUAGCUGAUUGUAGGUCAAGAAGAUAGACAUCGAUCUUUCGCUCAUCGAUUAACGCACCCCUUAUCUGUCUUCGUCCAGUAGGUCAAAGUGGUAAAACGUUCGAAGAAGUUUGAUCAUUGCGGACAGCUAGAUAAUUGAUUUUCCUUGGUGGGUAAGGAAAAGAAGAAGAAGAAGAAGAAGAAGAAGAAGAAUAGAAUUUUUGGAAAAUUUCAUCUCUCGUUUCCUCGACGAUCCUUUUUCAUCAAGUUUUUCUCAUUAUUCCCGUUACGUUGAGGUCGUUCGUUCGAGAAAAGUGGCAUCCACAAGAAGGGACGACGUGUUCGCUAAUGGCAGGACUCGGUAGCAGAAAUCGAAAUUGAGUUUACGUUGUACGCGACGUUGUUGCGUUGAGCUAGACUCCAUAUGUAUGCAGAUGAGCGCAAAGGACACCGGCUUUGUCCUCUUGCAUACGCCGUCGUUGAGUUGACGUGUGCGUCUAUAUCUCGCUCCUUCUCUCUCUCUCUCUCUGUCUGUCUUUCCGUAUCUACAUAUCUAUCUCUAUCUCUCUGUCGGCGUAUGCGUAUUCGAUCAUAUUCAGCAACAUCGCCGCAUACGGAACACCUGUCGCGGUGAAAGGAUUAAGCGUUCGUAGGUGCUCGCGCUAUUGGACGCUCAGACUCGCUGCCAUUUCAGGUAGCGACGAUUUUCAUAUCCUCCUGGUACUCGGUACUCGACGGAGUUAUAAACGGCUUCGGAAUCGUUCGAAGUAGAUAGGGGACAAGCAACAGCGGAUAUAUUUCCUACGCUUCUUUCGAAGGCCGUUACGCCUCCCGAACGAUUCUUUUUUUUAUUUCCGUUAUUUUUCUUUUUAUCGAGGGAUUGAUAGAUCGAAAAGGGAAUGCAACGUUGGAAAAUUCGUACGAUCGGAGAAGGGAUCGUUUUAUCAACGUCGAAGUUAUUCGAUCUUAGGAUAAUGCGUACACUCUCGAAGUUGAUCUCGUAAAGAAGAGAACGUGUCACCAUUAGAAAAUUGCCGCACCCUAAGUUUCGACCUGCGGUCGACGAACUUGCGUCAACGCUAUUGCUCUAGGGCUCUUUACGAACGUGCUUUCACCGGUGCUUAUCUAGGUCACAACGGCACGCUAGGAUCUGAAAGAUCUUUGUCUUCGAUCGGCUGACAGCUCUGUUAUACGAAAAGAGAGAAGGAGAGAAAGAGAAACUCGAAGAUGGCACGAAUCGUGCCAAAUUUUCGUGCAAAGAACUCUUGGCUGGUUAACAGACGGAUCGUUUACCUCACGAAACUAAUAGUUUAUAACUAUUAAUUGCAUUUCGUCUUUCGAUAUGUAGAGAGAUCACGUAAAGCGUUCUUCUUCUUUAACCUCGUUUGAGAUAUUUGUAGUUGCAUGCGAAAUUGUAGAAACGGAAAAACGUUUGCCAACGUGAAAUUUACAUGUAAUGUAAACCACUUGAAAUUCUGAAAGGAACGAACGUGUUAUUUCCCGUAGCUUACGUUUUAAAUGCAAAUUACAUCUUCGCGUCGCGCGCGCGUGCACACACACACACAAACACGUACUUGGCGCUGACAAAAGUUAACCGGAGAAUGAAUUAAAAAGCAGGAAGAGGAGAAUCUAAAUCUCCAUAAAGUUUAUUUUAAACGAUUCGGCAUUGCGCGAAUAAUUAAAGCGAAUUUAAAAGGAAUUCGCGGUAGAAAUGUGUAGCUGACUAUCGAAUCAUCCAACAAAGUUGAGAACGCUUUGUGAAUCGCGCGUAAGGCUACAUAAAUCUUCAAUGAGAAUACGUUGAUGAAGCGAAAACAAUGGUUCCGCGAUUAUGAAGGGGAACUCCUGAGAAUUUACUUGGAAAGAGGGAUUCUACGUAGUUAAGCUGGAGAAUUCUCUUGUUUUCGCGGUGUUCAAUUAAAAUUUCAAUGGGUGCAGUCCGCGGGCGCGGUAAAAAUCUGCGAUACUACGGAAUGAAAAUUAUUAUUGGAGAUAGCGUUUUAUCCGCGCUCGAUGAUCGUUGUUCGGUCGUUACGACCAUUUGCAUUGAAUUGAUUCGCGAAACAAUCGACGCGUCGUUUCGUUAUUUGUAAUUGUCCUUCUCUCAUCGAUCUUUAGACAUUUUUUCUUGAAACAAAAAAGGCGAACAAAAAACUUUUACUUUUUACUCUUUCAUUCGUCUAUGUAAUUGUCUGUGUAUUAUGAAACGUUAUUGCGUACGUACGUAUUGUGGAAUUGGCGUCGGAUAAAAUUAUUGUAUUUUCAGUUAAAAGCGUCGAGCAUUUCGUUACCAUGGCGUUUAAUCGCGAUUCACGAAACAAAUUCGUCGCCGAGCUCUCUUUUCACCAAGGAGUAUCUCUAUACUGUCUCGACUGUAGCAGGAAAUUGCUACGCUUCUUUGACCCGGCAACGUUCGAGGCAUACGGGCGUACGCUUUUGCAUCCGACACACGUAGCAUACCGUGGAGAUGCACAUUCCCCAUCGCCAUCUUUCCUUUCACACUCGAAGGUCGUGUCGAAGCUAUUAUCAUACGAGAAGAGUUACUCGGAGGGAUUCACAAGGAGUUAUAAGGAAAGUUUGACGAAAAAUGUUGUGAAUUAUAAAGGAUGGAUCGACCGUUGAUCAGACUUUUGGAGUCUCGCUCGUGUAAUGUUAUUCGUAAAAAAACAUUUCAUACGAUACCCGAAUAAGCGACAUAGCCACAAAUGAAUGACACACGCGCACGAAUGGAUAUCGGAAAAAAUGAUUUCAAAUCGAUGUAAAGAUAAUUUUUCAAAUGUGACUCUUAUCGAGUCGGAAUUGGAAAUUUUCUCGAGGACGAAGCACUAUCUUUCGGAUUCCUUUGGCGUUAGUCACUGCGCAUACGAGUGAGUCAUAGAUGAACUUGAGAUAAAAAGAAAGUGGUUGAACUCUCUUCGAAUUCUUCGAACCAAGGUGCGGGACGUAAGUCGCCAACUCCUCUUUCAUUUUUCUCUCCGUUCUUCCGUUCUUUACAAUGUAGGUAGAGAUCGUUUCGUCGUUGGUAGCCCGUACGAAUAAAAUUCUAACAUUUUGAAGGUUCGGUCGAAGAAACGAAACGCGGAUUGAACGAUAUGAUCGAUAAACACGCGCGCGCACACACACGUUCGAGCUGAAUCGUAGCACGCGUUGGUCGUAUAUCGCGUCGAGUCAAGUACACAGGCGGCGCUAAUAACGCAGAGCCCGUCGUAUCGGCCUCAUUAAAGCGUCGUAUGUCGCACACAGAGGGAGGGGAGCCGCUCGAAGUGCAGAAGCGUAAUUCGAUUGAACGAAAUUAUCAACGACGCGACUCGAUCUUGGCGUAUGCAGUUUAUAUCCGACGGUACUCGUAUUCGUCGAUUUUAAUGCCUUUAGAAACGAAACGCGAAACGCGAAACGCGCAGGGAUAUGCGAGCCGUCAAAAAUAUAUAAAAAUAAACGCGAUCGAUACCGGGGACGGUAGAAACAUUUCACGUCUCGCAUUCGUAACGCUCGGUCAAAAAGAGUUGAGUUGUCAUUGACGCGCCAAACGACGGUAAUAAAAUAUUUAUGAGCUCGUGUAAACGAUUUAUAUCAUUCGAAGACGGGCUGCGCGUUAGAGAUCUCUUGAAAACACGGACGUAGUCGAAAGUUUUUGCGUCCGUAGAAACGUUUUUUGAAUUGCUAAUGAACGACUCGUACCUUCCUCGAUCGUUUCUCGAAAUUCCCCUACCGGGAAACUUACGUACUCCGAUGUUCCGCUCUGGGACGUCUUAACGCGCGUACACGCGUGAUAAUAUAAUAUUUGACACCUUCCUCCGAUACGAAGAUACUCGUAGCUUUCUAUUCGCGACACGUUUCUACAAGAAAUGACGUGCUUAUUGAUAUUGCGAUCGAUGUAAGUACACGCGUACGAUGCGCGUACGAGUAAGAGGGCAAGUAAUAAGGACCUUCGAUUUAACGUCGCGUGGCACUCGGGGACACUUACCGAGCGUAACCGAUGCGGUCCGCGUUCUAAAGUAGCGUAAAUGGCUGGACGGCCCGGUUGAAUGCGUUGCAAGUGUUUAUUCGAGGACGAUUAUGCGUCGUCGAUGCGAAGGGCUGGUAGGUAGGACAGCGAGAGGGUAGAUUCGUUCGUUCGAGGCCGAAACGUAGAUUCGUUUUCAAUGGAAGAACGAUCCACGCGACCGUUUUACUCCGACGCGUUGGUAAGCCUAUUACCUUGCUAAGUAAAUACCGUGGGUAAUCCGAUUGCGUCGAGAGUGCUUACUUUCGCACGUUUUAACCAUUAGCGAGACGUUCCUUUCAUCGUGGCAAGAGCCUCGAGUAGUACCGUCACGGAUAUGUCGUUCUGUUCCAGAGGGUGGAUUAUUUUCGUUGUUCCUUAUUUUUACGAGGAAAAAAAAAAGACGGGCGGAGAGCGACGAGAGUGGGAUACGCGAUGUCGCUGGGAUUCGCGAAUUCGUUUCGCUUCUCUUCAGUGAUCGUUGCAACCUUGCGAGGAUGAGACACGCUCGUUGCUCGUCCUCGUAGGGGAGUGACCGGGGUCCGCGAACCUGCGUUAAUAUCGAUUCGCGAAACGAUCGGGCGCGGAUAUAUAGCGAAAUAGCGAGCCUUUCCGAUCGUUUUCCCUUAGCCUUUUAAUCGCACUCGACACGCUACGUUUCGAUUUUAACGAGCGCGAGUGUUCGAAUAUUCCAAUGAUCGUUAUAGGUCGCCGCGCGACGCCUUUUCCAAUUCCGACGGAUUGCCGUAGAAAAUCUUGCGUCCUUCUCUUCCCGUCCCCUUAAAAAGAACCUCUCGGUUGGUGGUGUUAUCUCGCGUUGUUCCUACGGUCGACAGCACCGAUCCUCAUUUCUUUCCGUUCGGAUACAAAGACCGGAUCGAUAAACGAGUCGAAUGAAAAAGAACUCGCCCCUAAAAACCGUGUUCCCAUGUCACGCACAUGCCCCGGCUGGGUUCGAUAUCGAAAGGGAUUCGGCCGGUGGUGGCCCUACGUUUCGCCGAUUUCUCUGAUAUUUGUUAGAUCUUACGCGAGAAACACGAGCCGACAGAAGCUGGUUCGACGCGGCGCCUUGUUACGAGCGUGAGAUAGACUUCGGUGUUGGUUGUCCAGCGUAGACCAGCGUCGAGAUAUAGCUCGCGUGGCCUAUUUGCUUAUCCAUUAGGCGAUGCCCGAGGGAAUUUCGCAAAGCGGGUAAAUAACUUUGCUCUCCGCGAUCGAUCCCUUACUACGCAAACGUUCGACGGAUUUUCUUUACGAAUGAUUACCUCUUCGAACGAAAAUAAUCUUUCCAGGUGGAUUUGUCUGGCACAGAUCUAGGUCGAAAGGCGAAUACGUUUUAAAA